rnacentral:rRNA from 1 species
GAUGAACGCUGGCGGCGUGCCUAAUACAUGCAAGUCGAGCGAACAGACGAGGAGCUUGCUCCUCUGACGUUAGCGGCGGACGGGUGAGUAACACGUGGAUAACCUACCUAUAAGACUGGGAUAACUUCGGGAAACCGGAGCUAAUACCGGAUAAUAUAUUGAACCGCAUGGUUCAAUAGUGAGAGACGGUUUUGCUGUCACUUAUAGAUGGAUCCGCGCCGCAUUAGCUAGUUGGUAAGGUAACGGCUUACCAAGGCGACGAUGCGUAGCCGACCUGAGAGGGUGAUCGGCCACACUGGAACUGAGACACGGUCCAGACCCCUACGGGAGGCAGCAGUAGGGAAUCUUCCGCAAUGGGCGAAAGCCUGACGGAGCAACGCCGCGUGAGUGAUGAAGGUCUUCGGAUCGUAAAACUCUGUUAUUAGGGAAGAACAAAUGUGUAAGUAACUAUGCACGUCUUGACGGUACCUAAUCAGAAAGCCACGGCUAACUACGUG